CGAAAGCCUGACGGAGCAACGCCGCGUGGGGGAAGAAGGUUCUUGGAUUGUAAACCCCUUUUCUCAGGGAAGAAGAUCUGACGGUACCUGAGGAAUCAGCCUCGGCUAACUCCGUGCCAGCAGCCGCGGUAAUACGGAGGAGGCAAGCGUUAUCCGGAAUUACUGGGCGUAAAGCGUCCGUAGGGGGCUCGUCAAGUCUGCUGUCAAAGGUCGGAGCUCAACUCCGGUUCGGCAGUGGAAACUGGUGGGCUAGAGGGCGACAGGGGUAGAGGGAAUUCCCAGUGUAGCGGUGAAAUGCGUAGAGAUCGGGAAGAACAUCGGUGGCGAAAGCGCUCUACUGGACGGCAACUGACACUCAGGGACGAAAGCUAGGGGAGCG
rnacentral:rRNA from 1 species